GGACGAACGCUGGCGGCGUGCUUAACACAUGCAAGUUGAACGGGCAUACAUGGAAGCUUGCUGAAGUGUAUGUUAGUAGCGGACGGGUGAGUAAUGCAUGAGAAGCUGCCAUUGGGAGGGGGACAACAGUUGGAAACGGCUGCUAAUACCCCGUAUGCCGAAAGGUAAAAGGGAGCAAUCCGCCUGAUGAGGUGCUCACGUCCUAUCAGCUGGUUGGUGGGGUAACGGCCUACCAAGGCGACGACGGGUAGCCGGCCUGAGAGGGUGAACGGCCACACUGGAACUGAGAUACGGUCCAGACUCCUACGGGAGGCAGCAGUGGGGAAUAUUGGGCAAUGGGGGAAACCCUGACCCAGCGACGCCGCGUGAGGGAAGACGGCCUUCGGGUUGUAAACCUCUUUUGUACGGGAAGAAGGAAGUGACGGUACUGUACGAAUAAGUCCCGGCUAACUACGUGCCAGCAGCCGCGGUAAUACGUAGGGGACGAGCGUUGUCCGGAAUUACUGGGCGUAAAGGGCGCGCAGGCUGUGCUGCAAGUCAGCUGUGAAAUGUCUGGGCUUAACCCGGGCAUGCGGUUGAGACUGCAGUGCUGGAGUGCUGUAGAGGCAAGUGGAAUUCCCAGUGUAGCGGUGAAAUGCGUAGAUAUUGGGAAGAACACCGGUGGCGAAGGCGACUUGCUGGGCAGCAACUGACGCUGAGGAGCGAAAGCUGGGGGAGCAAACAGGAUUAGAUACCCUGGUAGUCCCAGCCGUAAACGAUGAGUGCUAGGUGUGGGGGGCGACAAUCCUCCGUGCCGCAGUUAACGCAAUAAGCACUCCGCCUGGGGAGUACGGCCGCAAGGCUAAAACUCAAAGGAAUUGACGGGGGCCCGCACAAGCAGUGGAGCGUGUGGUUUAAUUCGAGGCAACGCGAAGAACCUUACCAGGGUUUGACAUCAUACUGCCCUCUGUAGAAAUACAGACUUCCGCUUCGGCGGACAGUAUGACAGGUGUUGCAUGGUUGUCGUCAGCUCGUGUCGUGAGAUGUUGGGUUAAGUCCCGCAACGAGCGCAACCCCUAUCCAAUGUUGCCAACAGGUAAAGCUGGGGACUCAUUGGAGACUGCCGGAGACGAUCUGGAGGAAGGUGGGGAUGAGGUCAAAUCAUCAUGGCCCUUAAGCCCUGGGCUACACACGCGCUACAAUGGUCGGUACAACGGGCAGCGAAGGAGCGAUCUGGAGCGAAUCCCAAAAAGCCGGCCCCAGUUGGAAUCGCAGGCUGAAACUCGCCUGCGUGAACACGGAAUUGCUAGUAAUCGCGAAUCAGCUACGUCGCGGUGAAUACGUUCCCGGGCCU
rnacentral:rRNA from 1 species